GACGAACGCUGGCGGCAUGCCUAACACAUGCAAGUCGAGCGAGCUGAUUCCUUCGGGAUGAAGCUAGCGGCGGACGGGUGAGUAACACGUGGGCAACCUGCCUCAUAGAGGGGAAUAGCCUUCCGAAAGGAAGAUUAAUACCGCAUAAGAUUGCAUCUUCGCAUGAAGAAGCAAUUAAAGGAGCAAUCCGCUAUGAGAUGGGCCCGCGGCGCAUUAGCUAGGUGGUGAGGUAACGGCUCACCAAGGCGACGAUGCGUAGCCGACCUGAGAGGGUGAUCGGCCACAUUGGGACUGAGACACGGCCCAGACUCCUACGGGAGGCAGCAGUGGGGAAUAUUGCACAAUGGGGGAAACCCUGAUGCAGCAAUGCCGCGUGAGUGAUGACGGCCUUCGGGUUGUAAAGCUCUGUCUUCGGGGACGAUAAUGACGGUACCCGAGGAGGAAGCCACGGCUAACUACGUGCCAGCCGCCGCAGUAA
rnacentral:rRNA from 1 species